AUACGGAGGGGGCAAGCGUUGUUCGGAAUUACUGGGCGUAAAGGGCGCGGAGGCGGAUUGUCAAGUCAGAGGUGAAAGCCCUGGGCUCAACCUGGGAACUGCCUUUGAAACUAACGGUCUAGAGUCCGAGAGAGGAUGGCGGAAUUCCCAGUGUAGAGGUGAAAUUCGUAGAUAUUGGGAAGAACACCAGUGGCGAAGGCGGCCAUCUGGCUCGGUACUGACGCUGAGGCGCGAAAGCGUGGGGAGCAAACAGGAUUAGAAACCCCGGUAGUCC
rnacentral:rRNA from 1 species